AGAGCGAACGCUGGCGGCAGGCCUAAUACAUGCAAGUCGAACGGACCCUUCGGGGUUAGUGGCGGACGGGUGAGUAACACGUGGGAACGUGCCCUUUGGUUCGGAACAACUCAGGGAAACUUGAGCUAAUACCGAAUGUGCCCCCAUCCUUAAACAAGAUGGGUGGGAAAGAUUUAUCGCCAUUGGAGCGGCCCGCGUCUGAUUAGCUAGUUGGUGAGGUAAAGGCUCACCAAGGCGACGAUCAGUAGCUGGUCUGAGAGGAUGAUCAGCCACACUGGGACUGAGACACGGCCCAGACUCCUACGGGAGGCAGCAGUUAGGAAUUUUCCGCAAUGGGCGAAAGCCUGACGGAGCAACGCCGCGUGCAGGAUGAAGGCUCUCGGGUCGUAAACUGCUUUUAUAUGUGAAGAUUAUGACGGUAGCAUAUGAAUAAGGAUCGGCUAACUCCGUGCCAGCAGCCGC
rnacentral:rRNA from 1 species